CAUGUCUCAUUGUCCAUUGCUU
rnacentral:miRNA from 1 species